rnacentral:rRNA from 1 species
GACGAACGCUGGCGGCGUGCUUAACACAUGCAAGUCGAACGAUGAAGCCGGAGCUUGCUCUGGUGAAUUAGUGGCGAACGGGUGAGUAACACGUGAGUAACCUGCCCUUGACUCUGGGAUAACUGCGGGAAACUGUAGCUAAUACCGGAUACGACCCUCGGAGGCAUCUCCUGGGGGUGGAAAGAAUUUCGGUCAAGGAUGGACUCGCGGCCUAUCAGCUAGUUGGUGAGGUAAAGGCUCACCAAGGGGACGACGGGUAGCCGGCCUGAGAGGGUGACCGGCCACACUGGGACUGAGACACGGCCCAGACUCCUACGGGAGGCAGCAGUGGGGAAUAUUGCACAAUGGGCGCAAGCCUGAUGCAGCAACGCCGCGUGAGGGAUGACGGCCUUCGGGUUGUAAACCUCUUUUAGCAGGGAAGAAGCGAGAGCGACGGUACCUGCAGAAAAAGCACCGGCUAACUACGUGCCAGCCGCCGCGGUAA